rnacentral:rRNA from 1 species
UACGAAGGGGGCUAGCGUUGCUCGGAAUCACUGGGCGUAAAGGGUGUGUAGGUGGCGCCGUAAGUCGGGUGUGAAAUUUCGGAGCUUAACUCCGAAACUGCAUUCGAUACUGCGGUGCUUGAGGACUGGAGAGGAGACUGGAAUUUACGGUGUAGCGGUGAAAUGCGUAGAUAUCGGAAGGAACACCGGUGGCGAAAGCGGCGCGCUGGACCUCUUCUGACGCUGAGGCGCGAAAGCCAGGGGAGCAAACGGG